rnacentral:rRNA from 1 species
UGGGGAAUAUUGGACAAUGGGCGAAAGCCUGAUCCAGCAAUGCCGCGUGUGUGAAGAAGGCCUGCGGGUUGUAAAGCACUUUCAGCAGGGAAGAAAAGCUUAGGGCUAAUACCUCUAAGUCUUGACGUUACCUGCAGAAGAAGCACCGGCUAACUCCGUGCCAGCAGCCGCGGUAAUACGGAGGGUGCGAGCGUUAAUCGGAAUUACUGGGCGUAAAGCGCGCGUAGGCGGUUGAGCAAGUCGGAUGUGAAAGCCCUGGGCUUAACCUGGGAAUUGCAUUCGAGACUGCUCGGCUAGAGUUUGGUAGAGGAAAGCGGAAUUCCGGGUGUAGCGGUGAAAUGCGUAGAUAUCCGGAGGAACAUCAGUGGCGAAGGCGGCUUUCUGGACUGAAACUGACGCUGAGGUGCGAAAGCGUGGGGAGCAAACAGG